GACAGAGGCCUCGAGCGUUAGGCGGAAUCACUGGGCUUAAAGCGUGUGUAGGCGGGCCCGUAAGUGUCUUGUGAAAUCCCACGGCUCAACCGUGGAACUGCUGGGCAUACUGCGGGUCUUGGGCCAACUAGGGGCAGCCGGAACAAGCGGUGGAGCGGUGAAAUGCGUAGAUAUCGUUUGGAACGCCAAUGGUGAAAACAGGUAGCUGGGGGUGUGCUGACACUGAGACACGAAAGCCAGGGGAGCGAACGGG
rnacentral:rRNA from 1 species